rnacentral:rRNA from 1 species
UACGAAGGGGGCUAGCGUUGUUCGGAAUCACUGGGCGUAAAGGGCGCGUAGGCGGUUUGUUAAGUCAGCUGUGAAAGCCCGGGGCUCAACCCCGGAGGGUCAGCUGAUACUGGCAGACUAGAGUACAGAAGAGGUAACUGGAAUUCCUGGUGUAGCGGUGAAAUGCGCAGAUAUCAGGAGGAACACCGGUGGCGAAGGCGACUCACUGGCCCGUUACUGACGCUGAGGCGCGAAAGCGUGGGGAGCAAACAGG